rnacentral:rRNA from 1 species
UAACAAGGAUUCCCCUAGUAACUGCGAGUGAAGCGGGAAGAGCUCAAAUUUAAAAUCUGGCAGCUCUGCUGUCCGAAUUGUAAUCUGUAGAAGCAUUUUCUGUAUUGGACUGUGUACAAGUCUCUUGGAAUAGAGCGUCAUAGAGGGUGAGAAUCCCGUCCAUGACACAGACUGCCAAUGCUUUGUGAUAUGCUCUCAAAGAGUCGAGUUGUUUGGGAAUGCAGCUCAAAAUGGGUGGUAAAUUCCAUCUAAAGCUAAAUAUAGGCGAGAGACCGAUAGUGAACAAGUACCGUGAGGGAAAGAUGAAAAGCACUUUGGAAAGAGAGUUAAACAGUACGUGAAAUUGUUGAAAGGGAAACGCUUGAAGUCAGUUGCAUUCUGCAGGACUCAGCCUUGUCUUAUCAGACCUGGUGUAUUUCCUGCAGUAUGGGUCAACAUCAAUUUUGGUUAGUGGAUAAAGGAGGAGGGAAUGUGGCACCUGUGAAGGUGUGUUAUAGCCCUCUUUCAUAUACAUUGACUGGGAUUGAGGAUUGCAGCAUGCCCUUUGUGGGUCAGGCUUUCAUGUCACAUGCUUAGGAUGUUGACAAAAUGGCUUUAAGCGACCCGUCUUGAAACACGGACCAAGGAGUCUAACAUGCCUGCAAGUGUUUGGGUGGAAAACCCUUGUGCAUAAUGAAAGUAAAAGUUGGGAACCUCUGCAAGGGGGUGCACUGACACCCGGCCCUGAUGUUUACUGACGGUGCUGCGGUAGAGCAUGUAUGUUGGGACCCGAAAGAUGGUGAACUAUGCCUGAAUAGGGUGAAGCCAGAGGAAACUCUGGUGGAGGCUCGUAGCGAUUCUGACGUGCAAAUCGAUCGUCAAAUUUGG